GCCAGAAUCAACCUCAGCUGCCAAAUGCUAGACUGAAAAAAGAAUGUAAACAGCUUGAUGGAGGGGAGGAUCCUGGUGCACCUGUGGUUUUGACAGCUUUUGCUGCUGCUUGAGGAGGAAACAGGUUGCCUGUUUGUUCUUCAAGAGCACUUCUGGCAUCCAGAUGCUUCAGGUGACUACAGCCAGCUCCAGAGGUUCCAAAGAUCUUAAAGAUGUCCCAGAAAAGUUCUAGAGUACUAUCAGAUCUCACACUUUGCCUUGGAAGCUGUCAUUCCCCUCCAUUGGCCCCACAACUGCAGUAUAAUCUUCAGUGACAGGAGAAAAUCGACCUUGUUUGUACAGAAGUCUCAGCAGGAAUAGGCAGAUGCCUGUUUUUGCUGCCAAGGAUGGAGGAUUGGAAUGGGCCCAUUAUAUAUUUUGAGGCUUUGAAGAAAAGUCUCAGGAUAUGUUUUCCC
rnacentral:lncRNA from 1 species